UACGGAGGGUGCGAGCGUUAAUCGGAAUUACUGGGCGUAAAGCGCGCGUAGGCGGUUUAGCCAGUCAGAUGUGAAAUCCCCGGGCUUAACCUGGGAACUGCAUUUGAAACUACUAAGCUAGAGUGUGGUAGAGGGAAGUGGAAUUCCGAGUGGAGCGGUGAAAUGCGUAGAGAUUCGGAGGAACACCAGUGGCGAAGGCGACUUCCUGGACCAACACUGACGCUGAGGUGCGAAAGCGUGGGGAGCAAAC
rnacentral:rRNA from 1 species